rnacentral:lncRNA from 1 species
UAUAUUUGGAAUGCUUAUUUCUGAGAGCUGUUGAAGACGGCUAACAAUUUUACCCCACGCAGAAGGACUGACAAUAAAUUUAGGAGUGGCAAAUGGAACCACUGUUCUGUUUCCCUCUCAGUAAAUAAAUAACUGCAAAACCUGUACUCCAAUACCAGAGCGUCAAAUCCAUGGCGCUCUGUUGAUUAACACCGAAAAUGUCUUUGUGAAGAUGAUGCAUUUAGAAGAGUCCUAAGGCUCGCACCAGAAGCUGACACUGAAGGUUUAUUUUAAUGUAGCACAAAUCAGAGCGAACGACGUGAAAAGAGUUCUGUUUCUCCUGGAAGGAUGCCACUUGUUUCUACUCCAGGGGAAAUGUCUUCCAAGCUCUUUACCAAAUCUGCAAGCUGAACCAACUCAACUGUGGCUGCCUUGCCCACCUGAAGACCUCAGGAUCCACCAGCAGCCCAAGACACCUCGGAAGCUGUUUCAAGCACCAUGGAAAACCCACACACAAGUGAAGCCCCGACCCACCUCCCAAGUGCCCAUCUGAGCACCCCUCGUGGACUCUGAGCAGGGGGUUGCCAUCACCAACUCCAAGUCUUGCAGCCCCUCUUCCCUUCAGUCUGGCUGCCACCUUCUUCAUUGCCCUGGAAAAAAAUAAUGAAGUUUCACCAUUUAAAGGGUUUCAGUGCAGCUUGCUAUGGGAACACUGGAGAGUAACACAAAUGGCCAAUUGUCCUAAUAGCCACCAUGGAUUGGAUGGAUGCUAACAACAGGCUCACAGUUCUCCUUCUGUUGCCUCCUUUUAUCCACAUGAGAAUCAAACAAGACUACUGAUUAAAUGAAGCCUUUGAUGAAGUGCAUGCAGUUUGUAGCUUGAUUCAUGGGAAUACUCAUCACAGACUGAAAGUGUAACCCAGGGUCUCUGGGUUUUUGGGAACGCGCUGUGUAAAAGUAUCUACUUGUAACUGUUACUCCCUGAGUUGUUGUUGUUUUAGAAAGUUCCAAGAAGAAGCUUAGCCUUGGAAAAAACAAAAACUGGUUGAAUCCAGAAGUGGAGAUGAAUUUUGGCCAACGCUCCUCACUGCCACACUAAAAACCCUGCUCAGAGAGGAGCUUAUUCACCAUGUUCUAUUCAUGCAAUGUGUGUGGAAACAUGAUCUACGACAGCAUGCGUGCUGCCUUCACCCUACCUCUACAUACAAUGACUCAUUUAACCUGCUGAAUAAAAGCCCUGUUUUCACCUUUGCUGGGGGAGGUGCCGCUUUGGGAACUAUUCGCAGUGUCCUCUUCACUUUUUGCAAGUAAUAGAAUACCCUUGUUAAAUCCUACUUGGUUGUGGUCAUUAUAGUGUCACCCGCCAAGCAAUCGAUCCCACCCAGGGUUAACAAAUGCGGGAUAACAAAUGUCAGGUUUUAGGCAAGUUACUUACUCGCUCAAAAUAUGAAGAUAUAAGUUACCAUCAGUUGUCAAUCAUGGUGAGCUUUGCUCUGCUGCAGUAACAGACAAUCGUAACUCUUAGUAGCUCUAAAUGACCAGUUUAAAUAACACCUCGUCUUUGUAGUUUUGAUAGCGACAGGAGGCAGCCAAAUGCCUAGGCAGGUAGGGGCAGGUUCCCCGUGAAACUCCAUCUCCAAGCCGAAGACAGUUUAGAGCCUGAAAGCCAAGCUCCACAUUAAAUCCUCCGACUGGAUUGAGAACUUGUCUUCCUGUUUAGUGUGCUUUUCUCUCAUUGGUCCCUGCCAUUCACCUAUUUCAUAUACACCUAACCUUUUCUAAUUGGUUUUCUAUACUGUCAUGCCCAACUUUGAGUGGUCUUUGCUUUAACCUUUUCUACAUAUUCACAAACCGAUCAGCAUGCACCCCCCAUUCUGAGUCCAUGAAAGGCUCUGGAUCUAGCCACACAGAGGAACUUUCCCAUCUUCAGGUAGGGGGGCCACCACCAACAUGUCCCCUCUCCACCAAAAGCUGUUUUCAUUGUUCAAUAAAAUUCUUCUCUGCCUUCCUCACCCUUCAAUGUCCAGCAUAUCCUCAUUCUUCUUGGGCAUGGUACAAGAGCACAGGAACCACUGAAGGUGGGUACAAGUUAUAAUACAGGCAAGUGGGGGCAUGCCAGCUUUGGCUGAGUGAGGACCAGGUCGAGCAUUACUGUCAGGGGAUCCCUGGCUUGCAAAGUGACCAAGAAGAAAAGUCUUACAUUAGUUUGGCUAGGGUGAGGCCCUGACCUCUGUUACCUUCACUCGGCCAGCUCACUGAUGGUGACUCUGUAUUGAUAGGCACUCCACCCAGAAAUUGUGCACUGACAUUUCCUGGCCAACGAAAGUUACUCAACUAUGCCUGAUUUUAAACUGCAAUCCUAACAUGACCCAGAAGGUGAAGAGCCAGAAAUAUUUGAUGACUACACUGAGCCCACUUUCCCUCACAGGCUUGUUUUGCAGGGUUAAUGAUUUAAGCCAUGUGAUGUAUGGUUCACAGGGUGCCUGGCACCUGCCAAGUAUUCUUCCCCCAGGAGUUGGCAGGUCCUUGAAGGCACUCUCUGGUUUAGAUAUUCUUAGCUCCUUCCACUGUUCCUCAUGCUACAUUAUCUUAAAUCUUUUUAUUUUUACCAUCCUGGUUCGUCUCCUCUAAAAAUCCUACCCAAAUGUCCCUGUUAAUUCAUGAUCCACCAGAAACAAACAAUCUUCCAGCUGAAUACAGAACCCAAGAGAACAAAAUGAUCUCCUUCCUUCUUCUAGAUUAUGCAUCCUAAAAUCUGACUGUUUUUUCUUUUCUGGCAAUCAGAGUGCACUGUUGAAUUUACUGUCAAUUAAACAUUCUCCAUCUCUUCUAUGUAUUUUUCUGUAUUUAGACAUUUUUCUCCAAUCCCAUACUUGUGUCAUUAGCUUUUCAGUCACAAAUAAAAGAAGUUUCACAUUGUUCCUUAUUAAAGAGCAUCUGUUUGACUUGGCCCAUUCUUCCCAGCAGUUAUAAUUCAGACCAAGGUUGUUCUCAUCCAACAUUCAAACAAACACUAUGGAAUGGGAGAGGUAUGAAAGCAUUCAUCCCGACAAACAAUGGUCUCACCAUUUUGGAAGGCAUCUUUUUUACUUCAUUUUUUAACAGCUGUAUUAAUAUGUAACUGAGGUACAAUAAACUGAAUACAUUUAAAGGGUACAAUUUUUAUAAGUGUGGACCUUUGAAUACACCCAUGGAAC